CCAAAUACGACACGCUCGAACGUCGUCUUAACCUGGUAUAAGAAAUACGCCAUGCACCAGACGCAAUCAUUUGGUGUAAUUCCAGCUGCCAAUGAAUGGAAUUGAUGUUUAUCAAUGAAAACAAAUGGAGUACGAGUCUAUUGCAAUAUUUUUGGCGGCAUGGAGCACGGACGGACAUGAAUUCGGAUUUACAGAAAAGUGGAAAAAACUAAAGAAAAUAAUAAAAUAAUUAAAAAUCAAUAAGUGAAAGUCACGUUUGCGAAUUUAGUGUGUUUAAUUAAAGUGAAAAUUGUUUAAAGUGCCAAAAAAAAAAAAGAAUGAACUGGUUGCAUACAGUGCGGGUGUAUGUGCCAAAAUUACAAUGCAAAUAUUUGCAAUAAAAUUAAUCCCAACGAAUCGAAGAAAACAAUGAAGAUAUCAAAAAAAUAGUACGGAAACUAUUAAAUAUCGUAACAAAGUGGCAUUUACAAACUAAAUUUUAUGAAUUUAAUGGAAUUAAUUGUCUAAUAAAAAAAAAUAGAAUGACUUCUAUCAAGUGUGUGUGUGAGUGAUAUGUGGUGAUUGAGAAAAAUUGCAUUCAAACUGCAACCAUUCAGUGAAACGUGAUUUUGGCGGAAAUAUUGAACUUCGAAAAACUACUAUUAUGAUUUUCGAAGAAAAAGAAUAAAAGAGAGUGAAAUGAAGAAAUGAAAGUAAUGAAGUGAAAACAUAAAAGAAUGGAUAAUUUUGGAGAAAUACAGUGAAAGUGAAAAUAAACAAAAUUGGAAUCAAAAUAAAAGAAUUAAAGCGAUUUUGUAUCUAAUGCAAAUUGUAAACGAGUCGAUAAAUAAAAAAGCUAAGUGAAAAUAUGAUUUGUGAUUGCGGAAGCACAAAUGGCCAAGGACAGUCACAAUGUGACUCGUUCAGAAGUCGUAGACAUAGAGUUAAAGUCAGUAAACCCGGGGAGCUUAAAUUCAUGUUCUGGCUUGGGACUUCUGACAUCAGCUGCUAUAGUCUAGAAGACUGGACGCCAAUCCGAAUAGUAGGAAAAUAAACGGGAUGCCGAACUGGUCAUCAUUCUACAUUCUAGCCGAAACUAUAGAGGAACUGCCGUUGGAUCUUCAGAAAUAAACGUAAGAUAUGUUUUUUUAUUACUUUUAAUUUCCCCUAGUUUUUGGUAAUUUGCUCUAAAAGAAAUCAGGAAUUUAUCAAAUUCUUUACCAUAAAAAUUACUAUUACUCACAUAUUUCUAUAAUAAAUUUUAAGCAACCUAACACAUUUGUAUGUAUGGCUUAAUACUGCAUUGCAGUCUAUGCCUUUUACAUCUAUAUUAUUGUUAUUAUAUUCUUUUAUAUAUUAUUUUUGCUAAUUCAUAUUUUCUCUUCCUUUCACUUUAUGGACCAAAACUCGGAGAUAUUUGGUUCACCCUAUACCCACAACACUCAUGGACCCAACUUAUGCUUAAAACGCUGUCCUACAGCUUGUAUAGAAAUGUAACUCAUCGAGGACAUUGCGUAAGUAUUAAUUCAGGUACUACUAUCAACUAUACUCAAAUUGAUCUUCCGUAAUUCUUGGGAAAUUCAGCCGAAUUUGACUGAAAUAAUAAAUAAAUACCAAAGGCAGGUGGUGGGAUAAAAGGUAAAUUUAAAGGGUUUCGGUGAGUUCUACUGGAAAAAAAUGAAGAAUUUAAUUGGAAUAUGGAAUAGGCGGCUUUCCCCAGACCUUCCUAAGAAAUUCCAUGACAAUACGGCCCCUGGUCAAAAACCAAGAUUGUCGCAGGGCCAAUGGAAACUCAGGGUUCGAUGGCGGGUAUCAAGAGCUAGGACCACUGAUGGCAGCUAAUGGACAAGGUUCUUCCCAAGGAGCCAGGAUAAACAGAAGGCAGUAGGUCGACACCACAAAAACAAUCGACGAGAAAAAAGUGGAUACCAAACGAUACUCAACGAGGGAUCCUGCACUGCAACACCAGGCGAGAAAACCGCGGAAUUUAAUUAUGUUGCUUCGUCGUCCGUCUGUCUGUCCGGAGUUAAUAGUAACGUCUAUAGGGAAGAUACCAAGUCACGCUGGUGUAGCAGUGACGGCAAUUCUGCGCCUCCCUCAAUGGAUUGGAUGGGCGAUGGUGUGUCUCCUUACUCCAAAAAUUCUGCCAGGCUUUAAUUUUUUAAGAGGCUAAAUACGUUGCUAUGCAAUGCCAUGAGAACAUACACUAAUUACGAGGCAAUCUUGGCCCUCAUCCAUGACUUCGUUACAUAUCUGACAAACCGUGGAAUAAUUAGCCGUGGUGGCAACUGCACUAGGUUCCUCUAAUGGAGGUGACCGAGAAGACUCUGCCAUUAUUUCAAAGUCGUUAUGGAAUUAUACUCAACUCUGAAUGACGACUCAAAAAUAAUGAUAUUACUAUUGGGGAUUUACGAAAUUUUGAUUUAUCCAUUUAGACCACCGAAAAGAUGGUGAAAAUGUACAAACCUAUUAAAUUGUUGUUUUCCUUAAAAAAAAAAUCAAAAUGUCUUUGUUACAAAGUAAGAAAACAAUAGAAACAAACUAGCGGAAUAUAAUCAACGGAAAUUGUUUUAUAUGCUUUUAACAAUGCAAUGAAAAAUACUGACGUUCUUGCAAAUAAAUGGGGAUAAUAGAGUAAGAGUGCAUCGACCAAUUAAAUUAUCAAAACUGGACUAUGGAGUGAUGGAUACAUUUGAUAUUCUUAACUAUUCGGAGACACCAUCUAAAAGAAUCCUCUAUUCCUAGUUCUUACUAUUGCUGACCUUUGGUCAUUUGAUGGCACGAGCAAUCAAAUGAAGUUCCGAAAACCCCUCAGGUGAUGGUAUCUAAGUCAACGACUAUCUAAUAAAUGUUAAAUGUAUACAACACUUUAUGAGAGAUAAAUGUUCAAAUAUAACGUUCUAAACGAUCCUGAAAAGGCUUUCUGGAUCUUAACGGUCGGCUUAAUUUGAGUUAAUUCCAAUCGCUGAGUAUCCAGUUGCGUCCUGAAAACUAUUCUCAAUCGAAUUUUCCGAUAUAAGAGGACCUUUAAACGUCUCACGAAAAAGAACUCUAGAGGUGAAGAAAAAAGUUAGAGCUAAAAGGACAAGGUUGUUACCUUUUUCGGCCCCACUUUUGGCGCCAAAUUCUGUAAUGGCCACGAACUGAAUUCGUAGAAUACAAAGUUUUAAAUAAUCGAGGCAUUCUGGAUAUUGGAGUGAGGUAGGACGGCGGGAGCAUUUUAUUCCCUAGCUUCAGUCGGGGUUCUUGUCCUUCUCGAAACCAAAUCAUGUUUCCAUUACGUCCUUAUUUUAGACUCCUCGGUUUAGUUACGUUAUUGAAAAAAAUGUAUAUCGAAAAUUGUAAAGUAUUAAAAAUGAAUUUAAAAUAAUAAAUAAAACCCCCAAAGAAUAAUACCAAAAUUGU